UGAAUUGAGCUAGAGCUCCCCCUGUGUCCAGAAGAGUGUCUUGGAUGGUGGAUCGAGCUGCUGUGUCAUGGAUUCCAUCUGCCUAUCCCAUGGAUAUAUCUUGCUACCGAGGCGUACUAGAGUUGGAGAGAGGGAUGGGUAGCUGUGUUUUGAGACAGGCUUAUGGCUUGCAUGACCCAGGAGCUGCAUUACGCAUUCCUGAUCUUUGUUUGGAUUGAAGGGAGCUCUACAUCCAGACAUU
rnacentral:pre_miRNA from 1 species